rnacentral:ncRNA from 1 species
AGCCGAUCCUAAGGGACGGGGUAACCCCGGCAGAUAGCGCGAUCACGCGCAUCCCCCGAAAGGGAAUCGGGUUAAGAUUUCCCGAGCCGGGAGUGGGCGGUUGACGGCGACGUUAGGAAGUCCGGAGACGCCGGCGGGGGCCUCGGGAAGAGUUAUCUUUUCUGCUUAACGGCCUGCCAACCCUGGAAACGGUUCAGCCGGAGGUAGGGUCCAGUGGCC